GAACCAAAAUCAAAAUGAGUCAAAAUUUCUGCCUCGAAAGCAGAAGGUCCAGGGAUCAAAUCCCGGUCGGUUCC
rnacentral:tRNA from 1 species